CUCCCAAAUCAUUACCAAAACUUCCGAAAUACUCACACACUUCAACUCCCAUGAAUCUGUCUAGUUUUCAGAUUCUCUCGCUGAUUGGACAUUCAACAACGCACGUAAUGAGUGUAUCGCCUGGUUGGUCUCUGGUUGGUCUAACCGAAUGGGCCUCCUACUCUGAAACUAGUUAGCUGAGGCAGAGGGGCAUGGCGAGAGGGUUGACUCAAAAUCUGUCAGCGCGAAACAAGCAUGGCUGAGGCACAUGUGUGUUGGCUGAGGUGAAUGUGUUUAGCUUGCUUGCUAGCUUGUUAGCCCUUGUAACGUUAGCAAUAAUGUGGCGGCACAUUGCUGCUGUUUAAAGGCCAGCCGUAGUAUCAACAUCAACCAAAGACAAAGACAAUUAAAUAGAAGCAAAGUGUAUGAUGCCAAAGAAGAGCAAUUGUACUGUUCGCGCUGCCGUCUACUCAUCUGUCAAGUGUCAGACCAAUUCAUUUAUGAUGGGUACCAAAAACCUGAAGCUUGAAGCCAUUCAGACCACUAGUCAUCGAAGUGCCACCUACGAUGUCAUGCAACAGAACGGGCCAAGACUAGUCACCGAGAGGAGAACGUCGCAAUGAAAGCCAUCUCAUCCUUGCAAUCGUCCCAGUUUGAAAGGAUGAACAUCCUGUUCAGAAAUGUCCAUGCGAUCGGGAAAAAGGGAAGCCCAUUCCCCAACUAUGUUUGGAUGUGCGAGGAAGAAAUGACAUGUUGUGUAACUCUUUCAAGGCCAAUAAAGCAUGUCUAAAUUGUAUUAGCUUCUGGCUAGAUUUGACUGUACUUGUUACCAGUGAGUUCUGUCUAGCUAGGCUACCUAGUUAUAGUGUAGCUCAGUGAUGUUAUAGCUAGCUAGCUAAACAGAUUAAUAAAAUAUGAAAGCUAGCUAGGGUCUGUCGGUAGCAAACACAGAAACCACAAAGAGGCCAGAGUGUUCAUGUUCUACAUAGCUGAGGUGGCUAGAAGACUGUUCAAAGCGAACAUUUCUAUUGCAAAGUACCUGGCAAUCAUGUCAGAUGGGUCUACAGAGAGUGCAGGAUGGAGGAAGAGCUGGUGUGUCUGAGACUGUGCCAGGAAGGAAAAGUUAAGGUCCAGUUCAUGGGAAUUCAGGCAAUUGAGAAGGCAGAUGCAGAGACCAUCACUGAGGCAGUACAUAGCAUGAUGAGGGCAGUAUGUGGAGCAAGCAGUCAAGACGAGAACAACAGCACAGCACAAGCGGUUGAUUUGCAGGAGAAGCUUGUUGCUGUUGCAACUGAUGGAGCAUCCAUGAUGACGGGGUCCAAAACAGAGUUAGUGAGCAGGCUGCAUGGCAACAAGUUCUACAUGCUAGGCAUCCACUGCAUGGCCCAUUGCCUUGAGCUAGCAUUCAAAUAUACAGUCAUGGCCUCUAUGUGUUCUAUCACAAGAGACCUUUGAACAGGCCCAACCUCAAAAACAGCUUCACGGUGUUGGGACUGAGGCCGCUCAUCCCAACAGGAGGGUAGGUCUCUCAACUUCUGAGGCCCGAGAACAUUUACUUACAAGGUACAGGGGACUUCACCUAGAGCAGGUAAUAGGUAGUGUAGGUUAGUUUGUUUGAGUUAAAUUCUGUUUAUUAAAAUAUAUCAUUUAACCUGAAAAAUAUGAAAUGUCAUAGUAAUUAUUUGUUUGUAUAUUUGUUUGUUUGUUUAAGUUUCAGUCAACAGAUGCUAAGGGGGAUAAUCCGGUGCAGCAGAGUAAGAGAACCUCAGUGACAGUGGCUGAGGUCCACAGCUGCCUGACCACCACCCAGGCAUUGUUGAACAAACACAAAAGCAGACCUGGUCCCAAGCUGAAUGCUUGUCUGGCCAACACAGAUACCUAUGAGGGUGUAAGUCUGACACCCAGAGAUGACAUUACCCUGGUUCGUGUGACAUCAUCAAUGUGCAAACUCAUUGACCAGCAGUGCCAAAGGAUGGACAAGAGAUUUGGUGAUAUCAGCUCUGAGAUCCUACAUGCCACAAAACUGGUGAAUCUGCAAAAUGGACCUGUUGCAGAAAAGCAUCUUACAAUAACACUCCUGAUCUUACUAACAACCCACACUUGCUAACAACCCGUGAAAGCAUAUAACUAAAUAUUAUUUUAGUUAUUGUAUGUCUUUUCAGAUUUUGGAGAUUCAGAGGUUGGCGAUCUAACAAGGCACUUUGAGCCAGUGCUGAUGUGGAUCUGAUCCCAGACCAGUAAACCAUCCUGAAUGCCAGGCUCUACCAGGACCCAAAGAGCGGCGUGGAGUAGAUAUCCUGGCCCAAGGUCCACAGGAUCCUCAAACACCCGUGCCCUGACCUUCUUCAGCUGGUAGAUCUCGUCCUGACACUGCCAGCCUCCACCUCAUGAAGAAAGUGAAAAGCAACUGGAGGUCAGGCCUGAAACCUGACCCACUGUCAGAUCUGCUGACUGUUCAGCUGUCAACUCCUUCCAUAGAAGAUUUUGACCCCACCCCAGCCAUUCAGCUGUGGCAUGAAGCCAGCAUUUGGUCCAGAAGUCCAGACUUUAUGGAGCAGAGAGUCACAAGAGAGAGAGGAGCAAGGAAGACGGAGGACGAGGAGGAAGAUUAGUCUGAAGAGGAGAGCUAGCCUAGACCAAUUUCAGUCAAGUGUGUGUUUGUGUGUGUGCCAUAUGUAAUGGGAAGUGAGACUUGAGACUUUAAGAUGUGUUAGCUACCCAAUCAAAUUUACUCAAUAGGAUCACACGGUCUUGUGGCACACAGGAGACCCAGGUUGGAACCCAGACAGUCACACAUAUCCCACCCAAAGUUUUCAUAAAUGACCUGUUUAUUCUGUAGAAACUUGCUACAACUCACCAUGUGGAUUCUGACCCACUAUGUGGGAAACUCUACUGUAGUUAAACUGACACACUGUAGUUGUCAAUCUAAUUGAGAGAUGCAUUAAAAGCGCAUUAAGUGGCCAGCGAAGGGAAUUUACUAGCGUACAUGUUUACCAUAUCCCCGUGAAGGCACUCAGACAUGACAUUUUCACACUUUUUAUUUCUCGAGUGUGAUCUGCUUAUAGGCAACUCAUGCUGUUCUGUUAUUGUACAUUUAAUCUGUUCUAUGAUUGUAUUUUACAUUUCAUCUUUUUUAUUAUUAUAUUUGUCAUUUUACCAGGUAGCCUAGCGAUUAAGAGCAUUGGGCCAGUAGCCGAAAGGUUGCUGGUUCGAAUCCCCGAGCUGACUAGAGGAAAAAUCUGUCGAUGUGUCCUUGAGCAAAGCACUUAACCAUAAUUUCUCCUGUAAACUGCUCUGGAUAAGCGCUUCUGAUAAAUGACUCAAAUGUACCACAACUGUGUGUCUGUAUGUCAUGU